UACACGGUCAAGGUAAGAAGAUAGAGACGACAACCAAAAAGUCAGCAAACUUCCCUCGUCUGACAAACACUUCUCAUGAGGAGGACAAGCCUGUGUUCGUCUUCGAAGGUGUCAACUAUGAUGAGCUGCCUCCACACUUGAAAGAAAUUCACAAAGACUGCUAUGCUGAUUACAUACGUUGCUCAAGAUCUAUGACCCAACACCAUCAAGUAUGCUCGUACAACCUUGAGCAGUAUUAUUACUUAGAAGCAUUUCAUAGCAUUUGUGAGAUGAUGUAUGCUAACUGUCAGCGGAAGAAUAAAGAUCACACGCUAUUUUAUUAUUUAGCUGAUGGGUAUACGUGCCAACAUUGGACCCGGCGUAUGAAGCGAUCCAAAGAUAUUUUUUCAAAACUUGCCUCGAAAGUCAAACAAGUUGCGACGAAGACCAAAACGUUCACAAAGAACCUUUUUAAAAAGCUUGGAAAAGUAUUUAAAGGAAAAUAAAUAUUCA